rnacentral:rRNA from 1 species
UACGAAGGGGCUAGCGUUGCUCGGAAUUACUGGGCGUAAAGCGCACGUAGGCGGCUUCUAAGUCGGGGUGAAAUCCUGGAGCUCAACUCCAGAACUGCCUUCGAUACUGGAAAGCUCGAGUCCGGGAGAGGUGAGUGGAACUGCGAGUGUAGAGGUGAAAUUCGUAGAUAUUCGCAAGAACACCAGUGGCGAAGGCGGCUCACUGGCCCGGUACUGACGCUGAGGUGCGAAAGCGUGGGGAGCAAACAGG